CAAACAUUUAAGAGGAAAUAGUGUAAAAUUCUACACUCUGAGCACAGGUGCCACAGCGAGCCGACCCUGUCGCUUUCCUGGGGCUGUGUCCGUGCCCCCUGAAGUGAAUGUGGAGGUCCUACACCC